CCUACGGGUGGCAGCAGUGAGGAAUAUUGGUCAAUGGGCGUAAGCCUGAACCAGCCAAGUCGCGUGAGGGAUGAAGGUUCUAUGGAUCGUAAACCUCUUUUAUAAGGGAAUAAAGUGUGGGACGUGUCCUAUUUUGUAUGUACCUUAUGAAUAAGGAUCGGCUAACUCCGUGCCAGCAGCCGCGGUAAUACGGAGGAUCCGAGCGUUAUCCGGAUUUAUUGGGUUUAAAGGGUGCGUAGGCGGCCUUUUAAGUCAGCGGUGAAAGUCUGUGGCUCAACCAUAGAAUUGCCGUUGAAACUGGGGGGCUUGAGUAUGUUUGAGGCAGGUGGAAUGCGUGGUGUAGCGGUGAAAUGCUUAGAUAUCACGCAGAACCACGAUUGCGAAGGCAGCAUACCGGCGCCCGACUGACGCUGAGGCACGAAAGCGUGGGGAUCGAACAGGAUUAGAUACCCCUGUAGUC
rnacentral:rRNA from 1 species